CCCCUGCUGGCUCAGGCUAUAGAGCAUGUGACUCUCGAUCUCUGGGUUGUGGGUUCAAGUCUCAUGCUGGGUA
rnacentral:tRNA from 1 species